GCCUGGCACGGUGGCGCGCCCCUGUAGUCCCAGCUACUUGGGAGGCUGAGGUGGGAGGAUUGCUUGAGUCCUGGAGUUCUGGCUGUAGUGGGCUAUGCCGAUGGGGUGUCCGCACUAAGUUGGGCGUCAAUAUGGUGACCUCCUAGGAGCUGGGGGCCACCAGGUUGACUAAGGAGGGGUGGACUGGCCCAGGUCAGAAAGGAAGCCAAAAAGGGCAGCAGGAAAGGAUACACUUUUAAGAAAAUGAGUACAACCAAAGAAAAAGGGUAGCGAAGGAAAAACAGACAGAAUU
rfam:Ictidomys tridecemlineatus contig087106, whole genome shotgun sequence.